AUACGAUGAAGAGUUUGAUCCUGGCUCAGGAUGAACGCUAGCGGCAGGCCUAACACAUGCAAGUCGAGGGGUAGUUGUCUUCGGACAAUGAGACCGGCGCACGGGUGCGUAACGCGUAUGCAAUCUACCUUAUACUAAGGGAUAGCCCAGAGAAAUUUGGAUUAAUACCUUAUAGUUAAUUA
rnacentral:rRNA from 1 species